rnacentral:lncRNA from 1 species
UCUCUGUUGUUUGAAGGCAAGGUGCUCGGGAAUGAGCUACUAGCUAAAUCGUUUGGUGAUCCCAAGGAUGUGCUCUCUGAUGUGGGAAACGUGGUCGACGACAAGCUCUGACUACUACAGGCUCCAACAAGGUAGAAUUAAUUUAGUUGUGGUUUUAUAUUGCAAAACACGGUGAAAUUAGAAUUUAUCCGAGUUUCUUUGUUUAGGUUGUGUUGUAGAAAUAGCAAUGUCGAUGCUACUGUCAAAUGUUUUGUUCAGUUCGUACGUGCUACUAAAGAUGCACUCGAUCUGCCUUUGCUCGGUUCCUGAAAAUUGCUAUGUUGAUUUUGUUUUGAAUUUGCAAGCAUGUAGAUUGAAUCCAAAUGUCCAAUGAUAAGAAAAUAUUAACCUUUUAUCAAUAGAAGUGUACACCGAAAUAUCACCGAUUUGCCAAGACUACAGAUUUUGUUAUUAUUUUGGUUAAUCGCAUUAGAUAAUUACGGCUCUUUGGAUUAGUCUUCAAUCCUAAUGCUUUGAAAAUGCAAGCAGUAGUUCUAUAUACCUUCUAAUCGCUGGGGUGCUUAUGUUUUCCUUCGCAGUAUUGUGAUUAUCUUCAAUCUUUAUCUUCAGGCUUCUAUUCUGAACCAAUAAACUUGAACAGCUACAAGAAGCAUCUUUCCAUGGAACUUAAAUGCCUCUUCCAAUACAUAGUUAAUCAACCGACGAAAGGAUUGGGUACUGAGCUUCUUGUACUUGAGGUUUGUUGGCUAUGUCGAAACUUUCUUGUUGUCUGAAGUUUAAAUUGAUGUACCAUGUAGAAACUCUUCAGCAAAUGGCAAAUGUAUAGUACACUGAGAACAUGACUGAUGAACAGGAUGCUAUGUCAGGAAGUGAAACGUUGUGGCUUCAAGGAGUGAAGAAAUUGGAUUGGGAUCAAUGGAGUAAAUCAAACAAGGAUGCAACUCAUGUUCGUGUUGGUAGUCAUUCAGACAUUUAUUAACUCUGUAGCAAAUAGUUCACAUAGUAGAGCUAGCCGUGGUGCAGAGGCUAGAUAGUUUUAGUCUUCAGACUUUCAGUUGCUGCUAGCUCUACUUUGCUUUGUCCUUUCAUAAUGGCAAUGUAGCAGCUGUGUGAUACGUUGGCAAUACGGAGUCUUCACUGCAUAUUACCUACCGGAACUGAUAUGUGUUUGUCGACAUAAAAUUUUAACCUAAAUUUGCUAUUCAGG